AUACGGAGGGUGCAAGCGUUAAUCGGAAUUACUGGGCGUAAAGCGUGCGUAGGCGGUUUAUUAAGUCAGAUGUGAAAGCCCCGGGCUUAACCGGGGAACUGCAUUUGAUACUGGUAGACUAGAGUAUGGUAGAGGGGGGUAGAAUUCCUAGUGUAGCGGUGAAAUGCGUAGAUAUUAGGAGGAAUAACAGUGGAGAAGGCGGCCCCCUGGACCAAUACUGACGCUGAGGUACGAAAGCGUGGGUAGCGAACAGGAUUAGAAACACUAGUAGUCC
rnacentral:rRNA from 1 species